AACGUGAUAGCUCAAUUGGUAGAGUAUUGUGCUACGGACACAAUGAUUGUAAGUUCGACUCUUACUCACGUUA
rnacentral:tRNA from 1 species